UCCACACUUACAAUGUAGCCUAGACAAUGUCAUGAAAAAGGACAAAUCCUUCGGCGAUAGAAGAAAAGAAGAUGCAAUUUUGGGGAUACAAAAACAAGCCAAAGAAGCCUCCAUGCCAAUGCACCCUGCACACCAUGGAUCAUCAUCUGCUACACCCAACUGAGUGGCCAUCUUCCCUGUCAGCGUUAGACAGGACUGAGCAGGUGUCGCUCAGUAGAUCGACAGUGUCUGAAGUUUUCUAACAAGUCUGACGGGACCAACAGCCA